ensembl:lncRNA SEPTIN7P9 septin 7 pseudogene 9
CGGACGCUGCCUAUGGGUUGCCGGGCGAGAUGUAACCGGCUGCUGAGCUGGCAGUUCUGUGUCGCUAGGCUUCGGCCCGGCCGCCGCCACACAUAAGCUGCGAUGAGGAGCUUUACGACUUCCCGGUCUUCGGGGCCGGGCGCAGCAAGGGCCAGACUCUGCGCUAGCAGGCGCUGCGCGCCAACCGGCCGGCACCUGUCGCAGAAGGUGCAACCGAUCGCACUGUCGCGCAGAAGCUCCUCAAUGGCCAGCACCAGCUGCAGCCCCGGCCGCCCACUCGCCUCACUUGAGCCUGUCUGGCAGCCUGCUAUCAAUUAUAUUGAUAGUAAAUUUGAGGACUACCUAAAUGCAGAAUCGCGAGUGAACAGAUGUCAGAUGCCUGGUAACAGGGUGCAGUGUUGUUUAUACUUCAUUGCUCCUUCAGGACAUGGAUUUUUGGAUAAUUCAGAAAUGUUCAUUAUUUGAGAGGAACUCAGUCCCUACCCUUCUCCCACUCCAACUCCUUUCAAGACAAGAGAUCAGUAUUUGACAACUCUAACUCUGAAAAUAAGAAUAGUCUUAUUCCAGGGCCAGACCCAAAGGCUCAAUGUGAAAGUUCCUGGACUCAGAGGUGUCACGUAAGAAAGUGAGUGGAAACUUGGGAGUAUGGCUGUCCCAUGAAGAGCUCACCCUCUGGAAAACAGAAAAGGGUCCUAAUCUUGGAGGUUUGACACUCAUCAUAAUGUGGGAAUGACAGCUAGAAAAAAACGGUGAACUCCAGGAAGGCUUGAAGGCAUUGGAGCAAGGCCAGCAGCCUCUCCCUCCCACCAUCACUUCCAUGAGAACCACGUAAGAAAGACCUAGUUUCUUGUUAUCUCUAGAGACCUGGCACCUUUCACUGAAGAAUUUGCUUUCAAGCUGCUGCAAACUUUGAACAAUUGUCUGACCUACUAAAAGUAACAGAGAAAGACAGAACUCUAGAUGACUGAAGAAAUCAUGUAUUUAAGUUAUUAAAAUGUAUUAUGUAUAGGACAGUUAUCAUGAUACUA